rnacentral:rRNA from 1 species
AUUGAACGCUGGCGGCAGGCCUAACACAUGCAAGUCGAGCGGAUGAAGGGAGCUUGCUCCUGGAUUCAGCGGCGGACGGGUGAGUAAUGCCUAGGAAUCUGCCUGGUAGUGGGGGAUAACGUCCGGAAACGGGCGCUAAUACCGCAUACGUCCUGAGGGAGAAAGUGGGGGAUCUUCGGACCUCACGCUAUCAGAUGAGCCUAGGUCGGAUUAGCUAGUUGGUGGGGUAAAGGCUUACCAAGGCGACGAUCCGUAACUGGUCUGAGAGGAUGAUCAGCCACACUGGAACUGAGACACGGUCCAGACUCCUACGGGAGGCAGCAGUGGGGAAUAUUGGACAAUGGGCGAAAGCCUGAUCCAGCCAUGCCGCGUGUGUGAAGAAGGUCUUCGGAUUGUAAAGCACUUUAAGUUGGGAGGAAGGGCAGUAAGUUAAUACCUUGCUGUUUUGACGUUACCAACAGAAUAAGCACCGGCUAACUUCGUG